CCCUUAGACGUUCUGGGCCGCACGCGCGCUACACUGACCAGUGCAACAAGCAUCCGUCCUUGGCCGACAGGCCCGGGCAAUCUUUGAACGCUGGUCGUGAUGGGGAUAGACUUUUGCAAUUUUUGGUCUUCAACGAGGAAUUCCUAGUAAACGCAAGUCAUCAACUUGCAUUGAUUACGUCCCUGCCCUUUGUACACACCGCCCGUCGCACCUACCGAUUGAAUGGUCCGGUGAAGCCUCCGGAUUGGCGCGCACCUCGGUGCCGCCGAGAAGUUGGCUAAACCUUACCACUUAGAGGAAGGUGAAGUCGUAACA
rnacentral:rRNA from 1 species